UACGUAGGUGACAAGCGUUGUCCGGAUUUACUGGGCGUAAAGAGCGCGCAGGCGGUCGAUCAAGUCGAGUGUGAAAGCCCCCGGCUCAACUGGGGAGGGUCAUUCGAUACUGAUCGACUCGAAGGCAGGAGAGGGUAGUGGAAUUCCCGGUGUAGUGGUGAAAUGCGUAGAUAUCGGGAGGAACACCAGUGGCGAAGGCGGCGACCUGGACGGACACUGACGCUGAGACGCGAAAGCGUGGGGAGCAAACAGG
rnacentral:rRNA from 1 species